rnacentral:rRNA from 1 species
UGAGGAAUAUUGGUCAAUGGGCGAGAGCCUGAACCAGCCAAGUAGCGUGCAGGAUGACGGCCCUAUGGGUUGUAAACUGCUUUUAUGUGGGGAUAAAGUGCGUGACGUGUCAUGCAUUGCAGGUACCACAUGAAUAAGGACCGGCUAAUUCCGUGCCAGCAGCCGCGGUAAUACGGAAGGUCCGGGCGUUAUCCGGAUUUAUUGGGUUUAAAGGGAGCGUAGGCUGUCUAUUAAGCGUGUUGUGAGAUUUACCGGCUCAACCGGUGGCUUGCAGCGCGAACUGGUCGACUUGAGUAUGCAGGAAGUAGGCGGAAUUCAUGGUGUAGCGGUGAAAUGCUUAGAUAUCAUGACGAACUCCGAUUGCGCAGGCAGCUUACUGUAGCAUAACUGACGCUGAUGCUCGAAAGUGCGGGUAUCAAACAGG